UGAGUAAUGUCUGGGAAACUGCCCGAUAGAGGGGGAUAACUACUGGAAACGGUAGCUAAUACCGCAUAACCUCGUAAGAGCAAAGUGGGGGACCUUCGGGCCUCACGCUAUCGGGUGUGCCCAGAUGGGAUUAGCUAGUAGGUGGGGUAAUGGCUCACCUAGGCGACGAUCCCUAGCUGGUCUGAGAGGAUGACCAGCCACACUGGAACUGAGACACGGUCCAGACUCCUACGGGAGGCAGCAGUGGGGAAUAUUGCACAAUGGGCGCAAGCCUGAUGCAGCCAUGCCGCGUGUAUGAAGAAGGCCUUCGGGUUGUAAAGUACUUUCAGCGGGGAGGAAGGCGAUGAGGUUAAUAACCUCGUCGAUUGACGUUACCCGCAGAAGAAGCACCGGCUAACUCCGUGCCAGCAGCCGCGGGUAAUACGGAGGGUGCAAGCGUUAAUCGGAAUUACUGGGGCGUAAAAGCGCACGCAAGCGGUCUGUCAAGUCAGAUGUGAAAUCCCCCGGG
rnacentral:rRNA from 1 species